rnacentral:rRNA from 1 species
UGGGGAAUAUUGGACAAUGGGCGAAAGCCUGAUCCAGCCAUGCCGCGUGUGUGAAGAAGGUCUUCGGAUUGUAAAGCACUUUAAGUUGGGAGGAAGGGCAGUAAGUUAAUACCUUGCUGUUUUGACGUUACCAACAGAAUAAGCACCGGCUAACUUCGUGCCAGCAGCCGCGGUAAUACGAAGGGUGCAAGCGUUAAUCGGAAUUACUGGGCGUAAAGCGCGCGUAGGUGGUUCAGCAAGUUGGAUGUGAAAUCCCCGGGCUCAACCUGGGAACUGCAUCCAAAACUACUGAGCUAGAGUACGGUAGAGGGUGGUGGAAUUUCCUGUGUAGCGGUGAAUUGCGNNNNUAUUUUAGAAAAAAAAAAAAACCCCGGGGGAAACAACCCCCCGACCGGAAUUUUAAUUAUAAAUGGGAGANNGGGGGGGANAGGGGAAAAAAAACUGUUAGUCCACGCCGUAAACGAUGUCGACUAGCCGUUGGGAUCCUUGAGAUCUUAGUGGCGCAGCUAACGCGAUAAGUCGACCGCCUGGGGAGUACGGCCGCAAGGUUA